rnacentral:piRNA from 1 species
UCAAAGGUUGCGUGCUUCCGGGA